rnacentral:rRNA from 1 species
UACGUAGGGUGCAAGCGUUAAUCGGAAUUACUGGGCGUAAAGCGUGCGCAGGCGGUGAUGUAAGACAGGUGUGAAAUCCCCGGGCUUAACCUGGGAACUGCAUUUGUGACUGCAUCGCUGGAGUGCGGCAGAGGGGGAUGGAAUUCCGGCGUGUAGCAGUGAAAUGCGUAGAUAUGCGGAGGAACACCGAUGGCGAAGGCAAUCCCCUGGGCCUGCACUGACGCUCAUGCACGAAGCGUGGGGAGCAAACAGGA